rnacentral:rRNA from 1 species
CCAGACUCCUACGGGAGGCAGCAGUGGGGAAUAUUGGACAAUGGGGGGAACCCUGAUCCAGCGACGCCGCGUGAGUGAAGAAGUAUUUCGGUAUGUAAAGCUCUAUCAGCAGGGAAGAAAAUGACGGUACCUGAUUAAGAAGCCCCGGCUAACUACGUGCCAGCAGCCGCGGUAAUACGUAGGGGGCAAGCGUUAUCCGGAUUUAUUGGGUUUAAAGGGUGCGUAGGCGGUCCGUUAAGUCAGCGGUAAAAUUGCGGGGCUCAACCCCGUCGAGCCGUUGAAACUGGCAGACUUGAGUUGGCGAGAAGUACGCGGAAUGCGCGGUGUAGCGGUGAAAUGCAUAGAUAUCGCGCAGAACUCCGAUUGCGAAGGCAGCGUACCGGCGCCAGACUGACGCUGAGGCACGAAAGCGUGGGGAUCGAACAGGAUUAGAUACCCCAGUACG